rnacentral:tRNA from 1 species
CACUAAGAAGCUAUUGCAGCAUUAACCUUUUAAGUUAAAGACUGAGGGUUUAAUCCCCUCCCUAGUGA